rnacentral:lncRNA from 1 species
AAUUCUUUCUUAAUUGGAAAAGUUAGAAGCUAAUAAUUCUUCCUUCAUGCCAACAAAUCUGUUCUUGGUUUUGAAACCAAGAACGGGGAGCAGAAAACGUUUCGUCCAAAAUUUUAUUUCCAAUCCAAAAGCCAAAACGUGAGAAAGCAGAAUCAUCUUCGUUCAUCAAUUCAUCCAAAUCUUUAGCCAACAUUUUAAUUGAAAUUUCAAGAGAUUCAAAUAGAAAUCUCGUUCAACAUAUGUCUCUGAAGUAGAAGCUUCAUCUCAUUCGAAUAAUUCGGGAAAUGGACAUGUUAAGGUUAUCCCUUCUUUCUUUUGGCAUGGUUCAUACAAUACAAACGAAAUAUGUAAAUACACAAAUUUCAUAAAUAAUUCUAUUCAUAGAAAUAUUAGAGAUAUCUAUAUUUUUGAAUUUUCAUAUAUCAUAAUAUUUUAUCAUAUUUUCACAAGUCUUAGAAACAUAUGAAAGUUGAAAAAAGUUUACUUUAUAUAUUACUUAAAGGCAAAACGGUCUUAUAACAUUCCGAAAUAGUUUAUUAACGUACUUUUCAUGCAUUGUAUUUAUGUACUUUGACCUGUGACCAGAUGGCAUUAUAUAUAUGUAUAUAUAUAUAUAUAUAUAUGAAAAUAGUUAUAACGUUAUAUACACACCACCACCUGAUCAGCUGGUAUAAGUUGAUGAUUUUGCUCACAGUGCCGAUAUGACAUGAUGGGAUGUCCUCAGAGGCCGAUGAUGUUAUGAAACAUGUACCUACGCACGAUAUGAUAUUUUUACGCAUAUGCAUGACACUAAAAGUGAUUUAUGAUUUACAGAGUUAUUCAAACUUACAGAUUGAGUCAGUUACUCUAUAUUUCGUCCACAUCUGUUAUGCACUUAUUUAUGUGCCUUACGUACACAAUACAUUAUUCGUAUUGACAUCCCUUUUUGCCGGGGUCGCCGCAUUUCAUGCCCGCAGGUCCAGAUUGAUGGAUCGAGAGCCCUCCAAGUAGGCUAUCGGCUCAGCAGAAGAUAUUUGUGCGCUCCAUUUGUUUUGGAGUUGCGUAUUUGGUUAGUGUGAUUUAGACGUGUAUUGCUUGGUAUGACGGGACUCUGUCCCAACCUUUAUGACAUUUAUGUAUUCUUAGAUGUUUGGAGAUAUAUGUCGUGUACAUGAAAGAUUGUACGGCCUUGUCGGCAUGUGUUUUGAGUUUAUAAAGGAACAUGUUGGCCUAUUAGGCCCGUAUGUCAUGUGUAUAUGAUGAUGUAAUAAAAAAGAUAUAUUACGUUGGUGCUCAAUUAAGUAAUGUACGCGAUGCUCGUCGCGGCCUAUCAAUUUGGAUCGUAACAUGUUGUCAGAAAAUUUUUUGUUGGC